AACGAACGCCGGCGGCAGGCCUAACACAUGCAAGUCGAACGCCGUAGCAAUACGGAGUGGCAGACGGGUGAGUAACGCGUGGGAACAUACCCCUCGGUUCGGAAUAACUCAGGGGAAACUUCGAGACUAAUACCGGAUACGUCCAAGGUUUUAAUCGACCUUGGAGAAAGAUUUAUCGCCGGAGGAUUGGCCCGCGUCUGAUUAGCUUGUUGGUGAGGUAAUGGCUCACCAAGGCGACGAUCAGUAGGCUGGCUGAGAGGAUGAUCAGCCACAUUGGGACUGAGACACGG
rnacentral:rRNA from 1 species